rnacentral:miRNA from 1 species
AUCUCUCUGUUCCCCGUGUGCAGA